AGUGGAAUUGCUGGGUCAUAUGGUAAUUUCACAUUUAACUUUUUAAGAAAUUGCUAAACUGUUUUCCAAAGUGGAUACACCAUUUUACUUUCCUACCAACAAU
rnacentral:pre_miRNA from 1 species